UCUCUCUCUCACACACACACACACACACACACACCGGUGUGUGUGGGUGUGGGUGUGUGUGAGAGAGAGA